rnacentral:rRNA from 1 species
AACGAACGCUGGCGGCAGGCCUAACACAUGCAAGUCGAACGCCGUAGCAAUACGGAGUGGCAGACGGGUGAGUAACACGUGGGAACGUACCCUUCGGUUCGGAAUAACUCAGGGAAACUUGAGCUAAUACCGGAUACGUCCGAGAGGAGAAAGAUUUAUCGCCGAGGGAUCGGCCCGCGUCUGAUUAGCUUGUUGGUGAGGUAACGGCUCACCAAGGCGACGAUCAGUAGCUGGUCNGAGAGGAUGAUCAGCCACAUUGGGACUGAGACACGGCCCAAACUCCUACGGGAGGCAGCAGUGGGGAAUAUUGGACAAUGGGCGCAAGCCUGAUCCAGCCAUGCCGCGUGAGUGAUGAAGGCCCUAGGGUUGUAAAGCUCUUUUACCCGGGAAGAUAAUGACUGUACCGGGAGAAUAAGCCCCGGCUAACUUCGUGCCAGCCGCCGCAGU